rnacentral:rRNA from 1 species
UACGUAGGGUGCAAGCGUUGUCCGGAAUUAUUGGGCGUAAAGAGCUCGUAGGCGGUUUGUCGCGUCUGCUGUGAAAACCCGAGGCUCAACCUCGGGCCUGCAGUGGGUACGGGCAGACUAGAGUGCGGUAGGGGAGAUUGGAAUUCCUGGUGUAGCGGUGGAAUGCGCAGAUAUCAGGAGGAACACCGGUGGCGAAGGCGGAUCUCUGGGCCAUUACUGACGCUGAGGAGCGAAAGCGUGGGGAGCGAACAGG